rnacentral:rRNA from 1 species
ACGCUGGCGGCGUGCCUAACACAUGCAAGUCGAACGGAGUUCUUAAGGAAUGCGACUUCGGUCAAAUGACUUUUGAACUUAGUGGCGGACGGGUGAGUAACGCGUGAGCAACCUGCCUUUCAGAGGGGGAUAACAUUUGGAAACAGAUGCGAAUACCGCAUAAGAUUACAGUACCGCAUGAUACAGUGAUCAAAGGAGCAAUCCGCUGAAAGAUGGGCUCGCGUCCGAUUAGAUAGUUGGUGAGGUAACGGCUCACCAAGUCGACGAUCGGUAGCCGGACUGAGAGGUUGAACGGCCACAUUGGGACUGAGACACGGCCCAGACUCCUACGGGAGGCAGCAGUGGGGAAUAUUGCACAAUGGGCGAAAGCCUGAUGCAGCAACGCCGCGUGAGGGAAGACGGUUUUCGGAUUGUAAACCUCUGUUUUCGGUGACGAACAAAUGACGGUAACCGAGUAGGAAGCCACGGCUAACUACGUGCCAGCAGCCGCGGUAAUACGUAGGUGGCAAGCGUUAUCCGGAAUUACUGGGUGUAAAGGGAGCGCAGGCGGGAUAGCAAGUCAGCUGUGAAAACUAUGGGCUCAACCCAUAAACUGCAGUUGAAACUGUUAUUCUUGAGUGGAGUAGAGGCAAGCGGAAUUCCGAGUGUAGCGGUGAAAUGCGUAGAUAUUCGGAGGAACACCAGUGGCGAAGGCGGCUUGCUGGGCUCUAACUGACGCUGAGGCUCGAAAGUGUGGGGAGCAAACAGGAUUAGAUACCCUGGUAGUCCACACUGUAAACGAUGAUUGCUAGGUGUGGGGGGUCUGACCCCCUCCGUGCCGGAGUUAACGCAAUAAGCAAUCCACCUGGGGAGUACGGCCGCAAGGUUGAAACUCAAAUGAAUUGACGGAAGGGCGA